rnacentral:lncRNA from 1 species
GGGGGACUGUGUGCAAAUCUGGUUGGGAUUCGACAGAACCCCAGGCGGCUGGACUUAUACACAUCCUCCUGAAUCAUAACCAUCGGUCAGGGUUCCCUGGAAAAAUCUGGAUGUCUAACAGGAACACUCAGAACCGAUGCGGCUUCUCCACGGCUGAGGUGUCUGCUGGAUCUGCUGCCUAGGGCCAUUUGGAAUGGCUGUGAACAUCUCUAUGAAACCCCAGGUCUUCGGUCAUAAAGAUGAAAUUAUUUGGAGAAGCUUCCUUGAAUCAUUGUCAUAGAGUGGAGUAGACCGUUCUUAGCUUCUGCAUCGAAUAUUCUGCCAGAGGGAAAAAUGUGCUAAGAUGGAAAAGCAACCAAGUAGAUUUUCAUGGAGACAUUUUUAAAAGCAUCUUCUUAGAAGGACGAUGUAAUGGCCGCCUGCUCUGCGUCGGCGUUGUUGUAAAGGAUCACUGUUGCUGGAAGGUGCUGGACGGUCCUGGCCUCUUUGGAGCCCUGCAGCGGCGGGAAUCCGGUCCGAGGAUUAAGGCAGCGCAGCGGUCUUGCGAUGGGCGGUCAGGACCACCGCCGGGCUGGCUGUUGACCUUGGACUCUGUCUAUGCCCCAUCCGGAGUGGGUCCUCAGGAAGCCCUUUGCCUCUCCUGGCUCUCGGUCCUUGGAAGCCCCUCUCUCUCCCCGAGGGCACCCCCCACUCCCCUGUCUGGUCUGCUCAGAGUCUCC